rnacentral:rRNA from 1 species
GAUGAACGCUGGCGGCGUGCCUAAUACAUGCAAGUCGAGCGAACGGACGAGAAGCUUGCUUCUCUGAUGUUAGCGGCGGACGGGUGAGUAACACGUGGAUAACCUACCUAUAAGACUGGGAUAACUUCGGGAAACCGUAGCUAAUACCGGAUAAUAUUUUGAACCGCAUGGUUCAAAAGUGAAAGACGGUCUUGCUGUCACUUAUAGAUGGAUCCGCGCUGCAUUAGCUAGUUGGUAAGGUAACGGCUUACCAAGGCAACGAUGCAUAGCCGACCUGAGAGGGUGAUCGGCCACACUGGAACUGAGACACGGUCCAGACUCCUACGGGAGGCGGCAGUAGGGAAUCUUCCGCAAUGGGCGAAAGCCUGACGGAGCAACGCAGCGUGAGUGAUGAAGGUCUUCGGAUCGUAAAACUCUGUUAUUAGGGAAGAACAUAUGUGUAAGUAACUGUGCACAUCUUGACGGUACCUAAUCAGAAAGCCACGGCUAACUACGUG